rnacentral:lncRNA from 1 species
AACGUUAGCUGUGAACUCUGCUCCCUCGCCCCUUUCCCAUCUUCUCAGCCUGCGAGCAGCUCAGAAGAACCGUGUGGGGUUGGUGCUGAAAUGAUUUGGUGCCAUGUUUGAAUUAAUGCAUUAAUAUUCACAGGGUGUUUUGUGUGCCAGGCAGGGCUCCUCGCAAAUGUUGGCCCAUUUGAUCCUUGUAGCCACCUUGGGAGGCUGGAGUUAUUAUCCUCAUGUUAGAGAUGAACAAAAGGCCCAAAGAGGUUAAACGACUUGACCAAGGGAGUUCCCUUGUGGCACAGUGGGUUAAGGAUUGACAUUGUCACUGAGCGGCUUGGGAUGCUGCUAUGGCGAGGGUUAAAUCUCUGGCCUAGGAACUUCCACAUGCCUCAGGUGUGGCCAAGAAAGAAAAAAAAAAUGGCUAAAAUUGCUCAGCCCAGGGUUUGAUCUCGGGUUUUGCUGCUCUCGAAUGACAAGAUCUUUUCACUCCAUCACACUGUCUCUUUCCCUCUGAUGCUCAGGUCUGGGAGACUCACUCUGUCCUUUGGAUCCUGUUCAAAAUGCCCCCCUUCUUGAAGCGUUCCUGAGAAACCAACCAGCCCAUCUGCGCCUCCUCCAACUCUCUGGAUCUUUGUUUUGGCUCCUGUUGGCUCCCUUCCUUUGUUCUCAUGUGCAUCAUCCCCGGGCAUCUCCUGGAAGCAACCUGAGGGCGGCCUUGAGUCUCAUUGUCCUGCUACAUCCUUUGUUCCCAGCACGAUGCUCCCCACAAGUUCUUCAAAGCAGGGGAACAAUCUGGAAGAUGAUUUGGAGGCCUCAGCCUGUCAAAAUUUAAACCCCAAAUGAAGGUGCCGAAGCUGAUUAGGAAGGAAUGACAGCCGCUGGAGGCCUCUGACAUUCCCAGGUCCCUGCCUGGUGAUCAGUGGGGCUUCCUGGUCUGGAAAUCCAGGAGACCUGUCAUCAGUGGCACUAUGAGAGUCCUGACAGCUACCGUUACUGCUCGCUUCCCCAUUCUCUGGAAAGGCUGCUUGUCUGGGCUCUGGUCUGGAGAUGCUUUUGCUUCUGUGCUGGCAGGUGAGCAGCAGGACCUUGGGAAAUUGGAUUGCAUGAUGUAGCAUUGUUGGAGGUGUCUAUGUUUGUAUGUGCUGAAUGAACUGAAAUGGUCCCCAUCCCGUCCCCAAUCACAAUGUUAAGUGACAACUAGAAGCAUGGGUCCCUUGUCCUAGAUAGUGCAGGCAGGGCCGCUUGGGAGCCCUUUGUAAUGAACUGAAUUAUUAUAAAAAGACCAGGAU